CUGAGGGGUGAAAUGGCGGCCGCAGGCUGGGUCGUGGAGGAUUUUGGGUGCUCUUCAUCCCGCCCUGCACAGGCUGCUGGCUCCAGGGCAUAGGGGCUCUGCGGCUUCUGGUGCUGAGUGCCCUGAUCUCCCGCCCUUGUUCAGUAUGUGACAGCUGGGGAUGUUCAGCCUAGAGAAGAGGAGACCUCAGAUACCCCUCCAGUGCCUAAAGUGGCUCCAAGAGAGCUAGAGAAGGAUUUUGGAUAAGGGCCUGGUGCACCAGGACAAGAAGGAAUGGCCCGAGGGCAGGGUUAGAUGGGAUACUGGAAAGAAAUUGUUCCCUGUGAGGGUGGUGAGGCUCUGGUACAGGUUGUCGAGAGCAGCUGCGGCUCGCUUGCGGCUUCACUCCCAUGGGAGUCACCUUCCCUGAGGUUACCUGUAGCUGCUGUUCUUGUUCUGCCUCUGCUGUCAUUUCACUUGUGAGGUGAAUUAUGUCACCUGGAGCAUGUUUGUCUCUAGUUGUGCUGCAGAAAGAUCAUUCCCAUUUAGAUUCCCAGUGAUUUGUAGGAGAACUUCUGGAUUUUCUGAGGUCCAUGCAGAAAAUGCCAGGUGUGGCCGUGUGAGCUCUGAAGCAGCACUGCGGCCAGCAGCACAUCGUCGGCUCAGGUUUCUCUGCACUGAGCUGCUCUAGUUAAACCAGCCACACUUAAUCAUUUGUGGAUAGAUGUGGAAAGGUUUUAAUUCAAUUUAAAUGUGCAGUUAUUAUAAGCUGUUAUUGAAGCUGAUUUUUCCCUCACUCUUUCUUUGUUUUUUCUUUUCCUUUAUGUAUCAAUGACCUCUGCAUAUGUUCUCCCCUCAAUGUUUGUUGUGCAGCAGCCACCAUCUAUUAGCCUAGUUUCUGAAAUCAUCUCCUUUAAGUUUUAUCAGCAGGUAAAUGAUUUAACAAAAAUCCAGCAAAAUAUAAGGAAGCAAGCCAGAAGCUUUUCCUGGUUGUCAGAAGUCAUCUUUAUUCCAAGCUCAUAAUUUAUGAAGUGUGUGGUUUUAUUCUGGUUGUAAAUGAAUUUGUAGCAUAGUUGUAUCUGUCCAAUGAACUGUUGGUGUGAAAAACACUUUGUCAGACUGUCAAUUAGACAAUAUUAAUUACAUUUAUCAUCAUUUUCCAGUCCCCAUUUUCCAGGAAGGUAUUCAGCAGUAGUAAAAUGUGCAGUAAACACCCUGAUUAAUUCACUUUUUUUUUUUUUUUUUUAAUUCACCUGUUUUUUGGGUACUUUUGAAUGUUUGAUAAAACGUACUACUUACUAUGGUACUACGUGUGGUAAGUAUGAACUAGCAGUAGACAGUUCUAAAGAGCCUGAUGUGUACUUUAAUAAUAUUAUUGGAGAGUGGUUUGUUAGUCUUGAGAUCAAGCAUUCCAAGCACAAACCCAGAGAAUGGAUCAGACGCAUCCCUCGGUGAGAAGGACUUGGGCUGUUGGUGGGUGAGAGGCUCAACCUGCCCCGGCCACGGGCACUGACCCCAGGAACCCCCCUGUGCUGGGCUGAGCCCCCAGCGUGAGCAGCAGGGGAGGGGGGAUUCUGCCCCUGUGCUCAGGUGAGACCCCACCUGCAGAGCUGCCCCAGCCCUGGGGAACAACAUCAGGAGGAUGUUGUGUCAGUCAGUGGUGUAUGGGUGGUGUGUGGCUGUGCUGGUUGCUGUUUUACAUGUAUGUGGCUUUCCAGUGGUACUGCUGAUGGUUGGGAUAUUUUCUUCCUGUUUCCAACAGUAUGCUUUGUGUUUACGUGUUGAACACUUUUCUGAAUAGGUGAGGUGUCUGAAAGAUGUCUGCUCACACAACCCACAUUAGUUGUGCCCCUCAAAGAGGUUAACUUCAGAAAUUCCAGUCAUCCAGUCAUGAGCUAGGUGUUAGAGCAGUCAGGAGAUGCAUGUCCUCAGCAUCUGUGCAGGUGCUCCCCCAGCAGGUACCUGCAAUUGGCCUGAGCUGUGGCAUGGCUUGAGGAAUGAAUCACUGACUGCUCUAUGCAGGCUGGACCCCAUCACAUUUCAGAGUGGCUGUGCUGGGCAGCAGCCCACCACAGAGGGUGAGUAUGACCAUACCUGACCAUAGGUCAGAUCUGACUGGGCUAUGGUGGAGCCCUGUCAGGGCUGUCAGUAGGGUCAGUCCUCCUUCAAACAGUAGGUCUGCAGUUGAGGACUCUUCCUGUGGGUUGGGAUGCCCAAAGGAAUUCCUGGAGGCUGAGAGCCCUUGCCUCAGUGUGUGAGGGAUUCCAUAUCUGGACUAAGUGUUCUAAAAUCUUCAGAGUUCUCAAGUCAGUUGGGCAGCACCACCUCCAUCUGACAUCAUUAAUUUGUAUUCAAAGGCUGACCAAGCCUUAAUUGAUUUAUCUGCUUUAGAUGGCUUACAAAAUAAACCUCAUUUGAAUAUAUUAUUUCAUAGUAUCAUAGAUUCAUAGAAUCUCCUGAGUAGGAAGGGACCAAAAGGAUCAUCAAGUCCAACUCCCAGCCCUGCACAGGACACCUCAACAAUCCCCCCCCUGGGGACUGUUGUCCAAAUACUCUUUGAGCUCUGGCAGCCUUGGGCCUGUGACCAUUCCCUGGGGAGCCUGGUGGUCUGUGCCUGACCACCUGCUGGGGGAAGAACCUUUUCCUCUGGCAAAAUUUUGCAAGAUUCCGUGACAGAAGCCAAGCACAGUCUCUCAAAAAUCCCUCACAAGAACAGCUUGGAGAUGCUGCAAAGCACUGGAGGCUCCUUUGGAAAAUUCAUCCCCAGUUGGAACUGAGGCAUAUCAGCUGCCAUUGUCAUGUGUGAACACCUAGCUGUGGCCCAGACUGAUUCCAAAAGGCCCCAGGCACCUCCAGCAUGGCCUUCAGAUGGUGUCACAUUCCAGUGUUGAUGCUGACAGGCCCUUCCAAUCCUUCCUCUGCAGCUUUCUGAGCUGUGAUGUGGGUAACUGUAAUCUAUUUUAUGGGACAAUUAUAUGGUAAUUAAUUGUCCUGUACUAUUGGUCUGCUGUGUCCCAACAUGACCUCUCAUGUUUCAGUCAGAGUUCAGCAGUGGAUGUCAGUGUUGCUGCUACUGCCUGGAGGAUGUGGUGUGGGAAAAGGUGCAAUGCACUUCGAACCAGGUGUUACUCUGCUCAUUAGAAGAUACCUGCACUUCAAGGUUUGAUUUAUUUGAAGAGCUGAAUCUGAUAAUAAACUGAAGUCAGGACCAUGAUGUAGACCCAGAUUUCUUUUCACAUGACAGAAUCCUGUAUCUGGGGAGGAUGGAAAGCUGUUGAGGUUUAAAGACUGUCUUGGGUUGCAAUGCAAGAUGUAACCAAAAGUUUGUAUUUUAUUACCAUCUAGUCGGGAAUUCAAGAGCCAUUUGUUUAUUUGCUUGGCAUUUUCUGUCUGAUUUGUGUGACUUUAUCUUAGUUCCAUGUCUAAUCAGUUGUGGUCUCACUGUUGUAUCAUGGAUUGAUCGGUAUUAGUCUGUCUUUACAAACUGCCUUGCUGCAGGGUGAUGCUAAACUGGUAUAUCUCUACAUUAUCUACCCGGAAGCUGGCUCAGUUAAAUACAACUUUUUUGACUUGUUGGUU